CGCUUCUCGCGAAGCAUGAGCUGUGAUGGGGAAGGAAAUUAAGUACGGAAGUUCCUGAUUUCACGCUGUCAAGAAAAGCCUCUAGGAAGAGUAGUACUGCCCGUACCGCAAACCGACACAGGUAGAUGAGGAGAGAAUCCUAAGGUGAGCGAGAGAACUCUCGUUAAGGAACUCGGCAAAAUGACCCCGUAACUUCGGGAGAAGGGGUGCUCUAUUAGGGUGCAAGCCCGAGAGAGCCGCAGUGAAUAGGCCCAGGCGACUGUUUAGCAAAAACACAGGUCUCUGCAAAACCGUAAGGUGACGUAUAGGGGCUGACGCCUGCCCGGUGCUGGAAGGUUAAGAGGAGUGCUUAGCUUCGGCGAAGGUACGAAUUGAAGCCCCAGUAAACGGCGGCCGUAACUAUAACGGUCCUAAGGUAGCGAAAUUCCUUGUCGGGUAAGUUCCGACCCGCACGAAAGGCGCAACGAUCUGGGCACUGUCUCAACGAGAGACUCGGUGAAAUUAUAGUACCUGUGAAGAUGCAGGUUACCCGCGACAGGACGGAAAGACCCCGUGGAGCUUUACUGCAACCUGAUAUGGAAUGUUUGUACCG
rnacentral:rRNA from 1 species